AGCAAUCGAGUUCAUCAUAGUCCUGGAAAAUUCCCAAUUUUAGUUAAUUAUUAUUAUUUUACUGAGCAUUCAGAGAUUAGGGCAUGGCCUUCUCUCUUUUCAGCUCUGCAGAACUUUUCAGAUACCACUCAAUAAUCAUUCCUUAAAGUUUCAUGUCCUUCUUGCUUUCCUGGAGCAGUGGCCACUCGCUUUCCUCAAAGCCAGUCCUCAGAGAGCACUUGAUUCCAGGUUAUCACCAGGGAGAACUUAACUUUCUGUUCCACCUAAUAAUCCCUUCCCCGAAUAGAAAAUGCAUUUUCGCUUAGCCAGAUAAAAAAUACCAGAUUAUCUGAUUUCCCUGAAGUUUUCUUGCCUGUAACCCAUGUGCUGUGACAGUUUCUAUACCAGCGAGGGUUCAGUAAUGUAGAAAUCAGAAACAGAUGUCUGCUAAUUUCAACAGGAAAAGGAUCUUUAGGGAAUGACUGAGGCAGGUCACAGAAUCCCUUAGAAGAACCAACUUCAAAUAUUGAAAAAGAAACUAGAGAAACUGGAAGUAUAGUGACCAGUUCAUGCUGGUUUGCCUGGGACUUUUCCAGUUUUUUCACUGACAUCGCUGACAUUCCCAGAUCUGUGACGUCCCUUAGUCCUGAGCAAACUGUAAGGGGUGGUUCCUUUGCUAGACGACUGCAACAACAGCACAUAUCACACCAUAGGAACAACCUAGUUAUGUGUGUUGUCCCUGUCAUUGUUGCUGGAUUUUGCAAACUGUCAAUAACUCCAUUGUGACAGCUCUCUCUUGAAAUUACCCUGCCAUCAAUAUUCUAAAUAGCUCCAUUAAGGCUUAUUUGGCCAUUGACUGCAGUUUGAAUAUCCAUCUCUGGUUCACCUACUUUGGUCUCCUGUCUAACCCUACUAAAUGUCAAAGAUCAGCUCUCAUGGGAUUUUCAGCUUCUCUCUUGAAGGCCCCACCCUUGGAUCCCAUUAGAACUUUAAUGUGGUUAGGUAGACAAAGGAGAAAAAAAGAGAAAUUCCAUAACUGUAAAUAAUCCAUAAGAUGAGUCCAGGAAGGGAAAUUGAUAAAUCCCAAGGUGGUACAAAAACAUGUAAGAAGAUCCUGCUGUGGCACAAUGGCAUCUGGAGUACUGGGAAGCAGGUUCAAUCCCAGCCCAGCACAGUGGGUUAAUGAUCCUGCAUGGCCACAGCUGUGGCCUAGUUCACAACUGCAGCUUGGAUAUGAUCCCUGUUCUGAUUCCUGGCCCAGGAACUCCAUAUGCCCCUGGGGUGGCCAAAAAUAAAUAAAUAAAUAAAUAAAGUAAAAAGGUGAUAUGUAAAAAAUCAUCAGCAUAUGAGGAAGCUCUAUACAUUAAUUUUUAUACAGUCAUACAAUUAUACUUAUCCUAUUUGUGAUGUAUGAGCACCAGGCGGGUCUGAUUCAGCAUCUGUCACCUAAAGAAAAUUCCCCAAAGGAUCUGAGUGUGAACUGCUCAACCCAGAUUAUUGACAUCUUCGGUCCACUUAUUUUGGCAGGACUUGGUAGCAUUAUUUGCAGUGAAUGUUAUUUAAAUCUUUAAGAGUAAGUAGACUACAAAAUCAAAAUAAAAUUGGAAAUAAGGUAUUCCUUGUAAUUUUUCUGUACCAUUCAAUGUAAAUUUCUGAUUAGGAAGUGUUAGAAGCAAUCAUAUAAAACUGAAAAUCAGCUUGAAAACACUCCUCUCUCAGUACCGUGGAGAUUUUUCUGAACCAUGCGUGUAGAUAUUGUUUUCUUUUCCUUGACAUUCAGUUGUCACUUUAUGUUAGAAGGCUGGAAAGAAAAAAUAAAUUCUAUUGAAAGCCUUUUUAUUCUCCCUUAACUUCUGAUUAGUUUUCAUAGAGUUGUUAAGCUAUUGGUCAGGCUGAAUGAAUUGAAGGUUAUGAGAAAUAACCUCCCUAAACGGCUUAGUUUAUACUUCACAAAUUGAAAUGAAAUAGUCAUUUUGACAUAAAUAGUAUCUUCAAAAACUCAGGCAUAAACACUUGUGCUCCAUAUCCAAAUAUACCAUUUCUGAGACAUUUGCAUUGUUCAGUUCAUGGGAAAUUGUGGAACUAUAACUUAACAAUAAAAAUGUCAUAUAAGAUUGCAAUGAAAAAAAUCUGCAUUUAAUUUGUAUCUAAUCUGUAUCCAUAUAUGUUAUUCUUUAAAUUUUAAAAUGGGGCAAUUUUUGAAAAUUGCAUUAAAGUACAAUAUAAAAUUGAUUCAGUUUUAACAAAAUAAGCUUCUUCCAUCCUAAAAUCAGGAGGAAUAAUAGAACAAAGAUGAUACUAAUGACUUCAAAUCUUACACCUUUCUACAUGGUGAGUUUGUUAAUGAGAGUCUGAUGACUCCACCUUAAUAUUUUCAACUCUUCAGUCUGGGUGAGAAGGUUGCUCUAUAAUUUUUUCAAACAUUCAUGUAGAUGUUUAUUAGAUCUUUUAGUUGUCAUGGCCACUGUGUCCUCUGUUGCUGACCUCUACCUUACAUCCUGAGAGACAUAGGGAGCAUUUCAUUAUAAACUGGCUCCAACCUUUGCCUGGGAAGACCAAAGGCAUUUAUAAAUAGCCCUUCUUUAGGUACCUCCUGCAUAGAGCUCCAGAAAGAUGCACGUGUAUUCUUGCACUCAUUUUGUGCAUUAUUAAAUGAAAUACUGGAGAGAAGUAUAAGACAUUGAGUAUAUGGUGGAGACGUUAAUAAGCCAACAACAUAGGCUUCAUUUUCUUUUCAUCAGGUACUGACAGCUUUAGUGUCUACAAUAACAUGGCUUAUUUUGGAAGAGCUGCACCUAUUCAGGCUGAUUUAAGAUUACAAAUUUAAAAGUGUAACCCAUCAACUGGGAAAUAACCAUUGUCAAUCAACUAGCUAAUAUGUUGUACCUAUGUGGACACAUCUUUCUCAUAUGCCUUUGCACCUGUUUUAACUGAAAAAUAAAUACAGCUCCUUGAAAGGUGGCAAAAAUACAAAUAAAAAAGGCAAAAAAAUGACAUGUUGAAUGUUUUUCUUCCAUUAAUCCUAAGAACAGUUAUUUAAUUUUAAAACCAUUUGACAUGAUAAUGGUUGAAUAUUUAAUAGACUCGAUAUUUUAGGUUGGUCUUUUUGACUUAUCCUCUUUGCUGAGAAAAUAGAGGUUCAUUUCAGUCUCAUAUAGAAAUGAAAUGUUUGGAAUUUCCAUGUGGCUCAGGAAAUUAAGGAUCUGGUAUUGUCACUGCUGUGACUUGGGUUUCUGCUGUGGUGUGGUCUCAAUCCCUAGUCCUGGAACUUCCACAUGCUUUGGGUACAGC
rnacentral:lncRNA from 1 species